CUUUUCUUUUUUUUUUUUUUUUCCCGCAGUAAGUUCUGAAAAUCGCCUCCCAGAGGAGAUAACGCGUUCUCCUCUGUAACCCGUCCUUCCACGUCCCGGUGGUGGGGGGGGGGGUCCCGGUUCUCAUUCUUUCGGGGACCUGCAAGGAGCCCCGCCCGCAGGCUUUGAACCGAUUUCGGCUCCGCGUCCAGGAGCAGGCCCUACGUAGGGCCGGGGGAAUUCAGCCGGCAAAAAUGAGACGUCAACUAAGCGCCGUUUCAGUCCCAGAGCCAGGUCGUCCAUGGGGGUUUUCAAGCGUUUUCUCGAUGACUGAUUUUUCUAGAAGCGAAUGGAUUUUAUUCUCCCAGGUGUAAAGGCUACCUCCUGCUUCACACCCGGGUAACAUAAAAGACAGCGCUGGGACCGAAACUCGGGUCUCCUGGGUCCUGGUUGGCUGGAGAGAGGGGCAAUGAACGUCCCGAAAAGAAUUCUGUCUUUUCUCAAUAUCUGGGAGGACUCAUAACAGGGUAGAUAAUCAGGAUGGAUGUUUGGCAGGUGGGAAUCUUUGAGACGGUCUGUGCACACAAUUUUAACUCUACUUUUGCCAGUUUGGAGGACAUGAAAUUCCUGAUGAGUGUAUGUUAAAAGGGAAUAGAGAAGGUAAUAUACACAACGUUCUAAAAUAAUUGCUUUUCGUGGAGGCAAAGUGGCUAAGCAGUCCAAAGCGCUGGAUGAAGGCUCUAAUCUCUUGGGGUGUGGAGGUUCUAGCCUGUUUAGCCACAGAAGUCAUGAAACCACUAUGUGGUAUUUGUUAAAUAAUGAGUUUUGAUACUUAAAAUAAAAUGGAAUUAUUGGAGUGAA